AGAGUUUGAUCCUGGCUCAGAUUGAACGCUGGCGGCAUGCCUUACACAUGCAAGUCGAACGGCAGCACGGGAGCAAUCCUGGUGGCGAGUGGCGAACGGGUGAGUAAUAUAUCGGAACGUGCCCAGUCGUGGGGGAUAACGCAGCGAAAGCUGUGCUAAUACCGCAUACGAUCUAUGGAUGAAAGCGGGGGAUCGCAAGACCUCGCGCGAUUGGAGCGGCCGAUAUCAGAUUAGCUAGUUGGCGGGGUAAAAGCCCACCAAGGCGACGAUCUGUAGCUGGUCUGAGAGGACGACCAGCCACACUGGAACUGAGACACGGUCCAGACUCCUACGGGAGGCAGCAGUGGGGAAUUUUGGACAAUGGGCGCAAGCCUGAUCCAGCAAUGCCGCGUGCAGGAUGAAGGCCUUCGGGUUGUAAACUGCUUUUGUACGGAACGAAACGGUCCUUUCUAAUACAAGGGGCUAAUGACGGUACCGUAAGAAUAAGCACCGGCUAACUACGUGCCAGCAGCCGCGGUAAUACGUAGGGUGCAAGCGUUAAUCGGAAUUACUGGGCGUAAAGCGUGCGCAGGCGGUUAUAUAAGACAGAUGUGAAAUCCCCGGGCUCAACCUGGGACCUGCAUUUGUGACUGUAUAGCUAGAGUACGGUAGAGGGGGAUGGAAUUCCGCGUGUAGCAGUGAAAUGCGUAGAUAUGCGGAGGAACACCGAUGGCGAAGGCAAUCCCCUGGACCUGUACUGACGCUCAUGCACGAAAGCGUGGGGAGCAAACAGGAUUAGAUACCCUGGUAGUCCACGCCCUAAACGAUGUCAACUGGUUGUUGGGUCUUCACCGACUCAGUAACGAAGCUAACGCGUGAAGUUGACCGCCUGGGGAGCACNGGCCGCAAGGUUGAAACUCAAAGGAAUUGACGG
rnacentral:rRNA from 1 species